rnacentral:rRNA from 1 species
GACGAACGCUGGCGGCGUGCUUAACACAUGCAAGUCGAGCGAGCCUUCGGGCUAGCGGCGAACGGGUGAGUAACACGUGGGCAAUCUGCCCCUAGCUCUGGGAUAACUCCGGGAAACCGGGGCUAAUACCAGAUACGACCUCGAGAGGCAUCUCUCUUGGUGGAAAGAUUUAUCGGCUAGGGAUGAGCCCGCGGCCUAUCAGCUUGUUGGUGGGGUAACGGCCUACCAAGGCGACGACGGGUAGCCGGCCUGAGAGGGCGACCGGCCACACUGGGACUGAGACACGGCCCAGACUCCUACGGGAGGCAGCAGUGGGGAAUAUUGCACAAUGGGCGAAAGCCUGAUGCAGCGACGCCGCGUGAGGGAUGACGGCCUUCGGGUUGUAAACCUCUUUCAGCAGGGACGAAGCGAAAGUGACGGUACCUGCAGAAGAAGCACCGGCCAACUACGUGCCAGCAGCCGCCGUAAGAC